GAUGGAGACAUUAUUGAAUGCAUC
rnacentral:siRNA from 1 species